GAUGAGAACGCAGCGAAAUGCGAUAAGUAAUGUGAAUUGCAGAAUUCAGUGAAUCAUCGAAUCUUUGAACGCACAUUGCGCCCCUUGGUAUCCCGAGGGGCAUGCCUGUUCGAGCGUCAUUUCACCACUCAAGCCUGGCUUGGUGUUGGGCGACGUCCCCUUUGGGGACGCGCCUCGAAACGCUCGGCGGCGUGGCACCGGCUUUAAGCGUAGCAGAAUCUUUCGCUUUGGAAGUCGGGGCCCCGUCUGCCGGAAGACCUACUCGCAAGGUUGACCUCGGAUCAGGCAGGGAUACCCGCUGAACUUAAGCAUAUCAAUAAGCGGAGGA
rnacentral:misc_RNA from 1 species